GUGGGGAAUAUUGGGCAAUGGGCGAAAGCCUGACCCAGCAACGCCGCGUGAAGGAAGAAGGUCUUCGGAUCGUAAACUUCUAUCCUUGGUGAAGAUAAUGACGGUAGCCGAGAAGGAAGCCCCGGCUAACUACGUGCCAGCAGCCGCGGUAAUACGUAGGGGGCAAGCGUUGUCCGGAAUGAUUGGGCGUAAAGGGCGCGUAGGCGGCCUGGUAAGUCUGGAGUGAAAGUCCUGCUUUUAAGGUGGGAAUUGCUUUGGAUACUGUCGGGCUGGAGUGCAGGAGAGGUAAGUGGAAUUCCCGGUGUAGCGGUGAAAUGCGUAGAGAUCGGGAGGAACACCAGUGGCGAAGGCGACUUACUGGACUGUAACUGACGCUGAGGCGCGAAAGUGUGGGGAGCAAACAGGAUUAGAAACCCUGGUAGUCC
rnacentral:rRNA from 1 species